UUCCGGUUGAUCCUGCCGGAGGCGACCGCUUUUGGAGUUCGAUUAAGCCAUGCGAGUCGAGAGCUUUCGGAGCUCGGCAUACUGCUCAGUAACACGUGGAUAACCUGCCCUAUUGUCUGGAAUAACCUCGGGAAACUGAGAACAAUGCCGGAUAGCCCACAAUGCCUGGAACGGUUUGUGGGUGAAGAUAGGAUGGGUCUGCGGCGUAUCAGGUCGUAGGGGGUGUAAUGGACCUCCUAGCCAUCGACGCGUACGGGUGUUGGGAGACAUAGCCCGGAGAUGGAUUCUGAGACACGAAUCCAGACCCUACGGGGUGCAGCAGGCGCGAAAACUUCACACUGCAGGAAACUGUGAUGAGGGAACUCCAAGUGCUAUCACUAUGUGGUAGCUUUUCUUAACUAUUAAUCGGUUUUGGAAUAAGGGCUGGGAAAGACCGGUGCCAGCCGCCGCGGUAAUACCGGCAGCUCAAGUGGUCGUCGCUUUUAUUGGGCCUAAGACGUCCGUAGCCUGUUUAGUAAAUUCGUGGGUAAAUCAACCAGCUUAACUGGUUGAAUUCUGCAAAGACUGCUAGACUAGGGACCGGGAGAGGUGUGAGGUACUCUAGGGGUAGAGGUAAAAUUCUGUCAUCCUUGGAGGACCACCAGUUGCGAAGGCGUCACACUAGAACGGAUCCGACGGUCAGGGACGAAGCCUAGGGGCACGAACCGGAUUAGAUACCCGGGUAGUCCUAGGUGUAAACGCUGUGAACUUGGUGUCGGGAUUCCGUCAGGGGACCUCGGUGCCGAAGUGAAGAUGUUAAGUUCACUGCCUGGGGAGUACGGUCGCAAGGCUGAAACUUAAAGGAAUUGGCGGGGCAGCAC
rnacentral:rRNA from 1 species